GCUAGAUAACAAUUGUGCCAUAGCUCACAAAAUAUUAUAGAUUUUUGUUCAUUAUUUGCAAGAAACCGAAUAAAAUUAUAAGCAGACAUGAGGAUCUCUUCAACACUGCAUGCAGUUGUUGCAAUCUUCAUUGGGGUCAUCAUUUGCAUCAAAACAGAAGCAAGCUCCUCGGUGAAUCCAGACCUCGUGGAAGCAAAUAUCGAACCUUUAUCACCGAAGUUCUUCAUGCCACCAUUAUGUGAAUUUCUUUCACCCGAUAUAUUCACACAAACUGACCCGAUCACUUAUCUGCGCCAAAAAUUAUUGAAAUUACCAUACAGAAAGAUGAUGAGCAUGAUUGUGGAUAUGGACCGAGGUUUAACUCAUAAUCUUGAGAUGGAUCGUGUUCCUUCAGCGUACGUUCCCUAUGCUAAAUUCAUAGUAUCGCUAUGGAGUUGUGUUCGUAACCUCGAUCAAGUGAAAGUUUUCAUCGGAAUAAUUAAAAGAGACAUAAACCCUUCUCAACCAUGGCCAGAUACUGCUUCGCUGAAAUCUGAAUUAUCACCUUUAUUCUCGUCGGAUAUUUUCUUAGACAACGACCCGCCAUCAGUGCUUAUCGAUAAAUUAUUAGUCACACCUGAAAUUAGCUUCUCAAGCAUUGCGAAAAGCUUGCAAAGCCCUCAAGACGAUGCUACUCGUCGAUUUGUUCAAUUGUAUCCUUGGUAUUCUGCUCACCUGAGCAUAUUUCUGCAAAAUGAAAUUGCCUUGCAGCAGUUGAAAAAUUUGAAAGGUGAUAUAGCUGAAAUUCAAAAGUUGAGAUCGCCCACUUCUGCGGUUGGCCAUAUUAUAGGUCAGUAGAGGAUUUUUGUCUCGUGGAUAUGACUGCAGCACAACCACAGAUAUGACUCCUUUCAUCCUCGGAAUUCAAGAUAGAAUUGUGAUGUAUCAAUAUUUCAAAAUUUAGUUUUUAAAUUAAUCAUAGCACCUGUGUUGAGAUUCAGAUAACAGAAUUAAAAUAAGUUGACAAA